UCCGUAGGUGAACCUGCGGAAGGAUCAUUACCGAGUUGAUUCGGGCUCCGGCCCGAUCCUCCCACCCUUUGUGUACCUACCUCUGUUGCUUUGGCGGGCCGCGGUUCUCCGCGGCCGCCCCCCUUCCCCGGGGGGUGGCCAGCGCCCGCCAGAGGACCAUCAAACUCCAGUCAGUAAACGAUGCAGUCUGAAAAACAUUUAAUAAACUAAAACUUUCAACAACGGAUCUCUUGGUUCUGGCAUCGAUGAAGAACGCAGCGAAAUGCGAUAAGUAAUGUGAAUUGCAGAAUUCAGUGAAUCAUCGAAUCUUUGAACGCACAUUGCGCCCUUUGGUAUUCCGAAGGGCAUGCCUGUUCGAGCGUCAUUACAACCCUCAAGCUCUGCUUGGUAUUGGGCACCGUCCUUUGCGGGCGCGCCUCAAAGACCUCGGCGGUGGCGUCUUGCCUCAAGCGUAGUAGAACAUACAUCUCGCUUCGGAGCGCAGGGCGUCGCCCGCCGGACGAACCUUCUGAACUUUUCUCAAGGUUGACCUCGGAUCAGGUAGGGAUACCCGCUGAACUUAAGCAUAUCAAUAAGCGGAGGA
rnacentral:rRNA from 1 species